AACUUCUCUUCAUUCGGUUCUUUUGCUUUCUGGAAGCGGGUGAACGAACCGUAGAGAGAGAGAAAUAGCUCAGAAAAACGUGGCAUUUGUAGAGCGGAGCCAGAACGAAACGAGCAAAGUGAGCGAAGUUUAAAGGAUGUCGAAGGCGUCUUCAAAGAAAAAAGAGAGUUCGUCCAGCCGAGUUGCCUCGUCCCAGGGCCAGGCGUCCGCUAAAGAUGUGUCUUCGGGGGUGGGCAGUGCCUCCGAGGGGCCUGCUGAGGCCAAAGGGGGGCUGUUCCCGGUGUGGCCUGAGUGGAGCGAAGCUGAGGUCAACGCAGAGAAGUGGGACGGCUCCAGAGGGCCUAAAGAUGCGAAAACUGGGAAGAGUCCAUGUCCUCAGUUCUUUGAGGAUCCUGAGGGGAAGAUUGAGCUCCCCCAGUCACUGAGCAUCCAUUCUUGGAGACGCCCUGUCGAGUUCAUCCAGGAAAAGGCCCCCAUCAUGGUGGAGAAUGAGUUGACCUUUGACCUCUUGUCAGCCAACAAGCAUUUGCUGUGCAGUGAGCUUGUAAGGUGGAUAAUCAGUGAAAUCUACAUUUUGUGGAAAGUUUUCAAUGGGACCACCAGCAAAGACAAGCAGGUGUCUCCGGAGGCGGGCUCUCAAACAUGGCGGCCGUGGGAGCAUAUCUACUCCCUGUGCAAGGCGGCCAAGGGCCACGUGCCCCUCUACAACCCCUACGGGAAGUAUGUUGUUCGCCUCUUCUGGAUGGGCUGCUGGAGGAAGAUCACGGUGGACGACUUCCUGCCUUUCGAUGAGGGAAACAACCUGUUGCUUCCUGCUACGACUGUGCGGGCAGAGCUGUGGCCUGCGCUGCUCACAAAAGCCAUCAUCAAGCUGGCAAACACAGAAGUGGGCCAACAACAGGGCCGAGAGUUGGGGGACUUCAGUGUCAUGCAUGCCCUCACAGGCUGGAUCCCGGAGCAUGUUCCUCUGCAGGCUCGGUACCUGGAUAAAGUGUGGGAUUUCUUAAAGGAGACCGCUCCGAGGUUCCAGCAAGCGCACAGUUCUGAGGAGAGGCUGUCAUCAUGCAGCUCUGCUGAGGAGUGGAGCUCCAGGCCUGUGGAGGGCAAGAAUGAGUCUUCAGCAGCGAGCAAAUGCCCAGAAAAAGCAAAAGGCUAUGCAGAGCUGCAAAUGCCGCAGAUGGUCAUCUGUGCCAGCUACCAGCCGCUGCACCUGCUGGAGAAGACCUCUCUUCUGGGACAGAUGUCAGAUGCCUCUGAGAAGCUCCGACACUACGGCCUUUUCCAGCUCUAUAGCCACCCUGUUUUGGUGACCAGAACCAGGGCUGGCCCCCUUGUGGUCCCUCCGGGGCCCCCACCAGUCCCUCGAUGGAAACUCGUGCGACCAAGAAAAGAGCGGGUUACCACCGAUGAACAGAAAGAAAUACCCAGUGAAAAGCAUGAUCAGUUCAUUGAGGUCUCAAGCCCCUUUGUGAAUUACGGGCCAAUAGUAGUCCCUACCAGCCCAGAGUUAGACCAACGGCUGGCCUCCCUCACAGAGCAUGAGGGGGCGGAGAGUCAAGGCCUCGCAGGCAGAGGGGUUGGUGCUAUACGCCCUCUUGAUCCAGGACCUGCUGGGGAGGUGACCAAAGACAACAAAAAAAAUGAAGAGAAGAGCAGUAGCGGAGAGAGAGCGACGGAGUCGUGCAGCACUGUGCCUGGAAGUCAGGAGGUCUGGAUUCACCUGGACCACUUCACCACAUGUUUCCAGACACUGCUAGUUUUUCAUAAGCCAAACAUAUAUUCAAAUCACUACCGCAAGUCCUAUUUUAAGAGCUCCAUUGCUCCCACAUCUGCAGUGACCAAUUCUGCUGCACCGCCCAAGCAGCAGGCCUCGCUCACUACACCUGGGCCUACACAGGUAGGAGACGAAAAGAGCUGCCACUUCCUGUUUGUGGACAGUCUGAUGCCCACAGAUGUGUUAGUCAGCUUCUCUUCGCUGGUGCACUGGGGGGGAGCCCCAGACGAGCCCUCAUCCUCUGCAGGAAAGGAUAGCUGUUCCCCCCGCCUGGGGCUGCUGGUGGCCAGACCUUUCUCCUGGAAGAGCCUGAAGUCCCAGCUCCCUGUUCUGCACAUCCAGACUGCCUCCACCAAGGCAGCUGUGCUCUCCCUGCCCCCUGGGCACCACGUGGUAUGUUUCAGCAGCUGGGCCCCUCUGGCCUACCACAUCCACCUGUGCAGCAUGACACCUUUUGUCUGUGGCAACGAAGAGGUCGUCAUGCCACACCUGAGCAAGGACAGCCUGCGGUUCAUAGAUCAAGCCAUGGUAAUCCUGAACGCCCUGGGGAGAGUGGUGAACGUGUUUUCUGAAAAAAACGAGCUUCCAUCCGCCAUGAAGGAGCUGGACUCUGCCCACAUCCCUCCUUGGCUGGACACUGGAGGGGCGCGAUGGGAGCACUUCAAGGUGUUCAACAUGGCUGUGUUCCACAUGGUGACCGCAAUGCUGGAGCGAAGGCUAACUGCAGAGGAGGUGUUUGCAGUCCAGGCGCUUCUUACUGACCCUUAUAUUGGGACUGACGCCCAAGAACACAUCUCACCCCCUAGGGUUGAAGUUCCGCAGCAGUGGAAGGACAGAGAGCCCACUGAGAAGGAGGUCUGGGCCACCAGAGUUCUACAAGCAGGCUGGAAAGGUCUGCACGUGCGCAAGAUCAUCCGCGCCAGGAAACCAGGCACCGUGGAGAACAGUCGCGCUUCAAAGACUUUGCAAGAAAUCUGGUCUUUGGUGGAGUCAGGCGCACAGAAACAUGCUCUGUUUUUAUUAAGAUACAUUUUCAGUCAUGGCGAGAGGUCGGCAGUGUUGUACCCGUGCUAUGAGGACGUGGAGAGCCGGAUUUUCUUCAGAGACUACUCAGUGAUGCUUCCUAGCCAGCCCAGCAACACCUGGUUCCUGAUCUUUCGAGAGGUCCUUUUUGUCUCCAACGAAAUGUUGUUGGUGCCAAAAGUGUACUCCCCCAUCCCAGCCUGCAUCCUCCACGUUAUUGACAACGACACCGGAGAGGAGCUUCCAAGGGUCUUUGAGAGGGUGGAACCUCACAUCUACAAGCCAAACCAGAAGGGUUACACCUUUCUGGCUGAAGCACAGUCUGGUGAUACACCCAUAUCUGGGGGGAAGUGGACGUUGCGGCUGAUUGGGUCAUGUGACCCACCUUCAAGCUUCAGCAGGGACACACCAGUGUGCAACUUUGCCACCAAGGAGUUCAAGGGUUAUUACAUCCCCGACAACAAAAACAUCAUAUGCAGGUUUUCUGUGAAGGUCACAGAAGAUCACAUGGCCACAAUUCAGAUACAAACGUCCAAACAAGAUGCAUAUGUUAAGCUGGUGGUGCUGGACCAUGAGGUGGAGGUGGCCAGCAGCUCAGGGAAAGGAUUUGUGAUUAUCCCUGUCUUCUGGUUCCUACUAGAUGAGCAGCCUGAGGCAGCCCUGGGGCCCAGAAUGGAAGGCCAGAGCGACAGGACUGUCACUCAGAAAGGCGUCCAGUUGACAGAGUCUCCCCAGGAAACAGCGGAGGAGGUUACAUCCAGCCUUGUCUCCACCACGACCGACCAGCUGACCACAGGCCCGCUGAGUCACAAGUAUAUCAUCCAGGCAGAGGUGCUGCACAAGAGCUGGCCGCUGGAUGAGAGCCAUGCAGCUUUUAUCCAGACACUGAGAGACCUAGAGAAGAACGAGAUCAAAGCUGAGAAGCAGGAGGACCCUGCCACGCCCACAGGCACAGACAAGCAGGGCAGCGAGGGCCGGAACUCCGCCGCAGUGAAGUCCACCCGCAAGGCCAAGGAGAAGGAGAAAGAGAAAGAGAAGGAGAAGCCGGCUGCCAAGCCCACCUCCAAGCUGGAGAUGCAGGGCCUGGACACGAGCCGGCCGCAUUGGACACUGCGGUUCGUCAGUGAUCAGAGUGAUACUGACUCAGCGGAGGUCAAGAAAGACACAGAGCGGGCCGAUGAGAUCAGGGCCAUGAAGCAAGCGUGGGAGGCUGCCGAACCUGGCAGGUCCGUCAAGGCUAUGCAAGCACGUCUCCAGUUCAUCAGCAAACACCUGGACAAAGCCCGAGCAGAGGGGACCCAGGGUUCUCCAGAUGUACCUCUCAGCCCCCUCUCAGGGGAGGUUGCCCAGGUAGAACCACCCCAGUCCAUCAUCCACAUACCCAUGGACUUCACCCCUUUCAUCAGGAGGCGCCUAGAGGAGCUGCGACUGAAGGAUGACAGCAUUGCAGAGGAACAGAAGAGGGCAAAGGCAGAGCAGAUCCAGAGCUUCAGGCUGAUCCGUGACACCAUCCUGGAACACAGAAAACAGGAGGAGAAGUCCAGGAAGGCCCUGAUGAAGAAACAGCUGGAGAUAUACGAGGAAAUGCAGGUCCUCCUGGACGAACAGCGAAAGAAGAUCCUACAGCUGAGAGAGCGCCAUCGGAGCCAGGUGCAGGAGCCAGAACACAGGAGGAAGGAGCUGAAGGUGGAUAAGGAAGUGCCUCGGCCGGCGGAGCCGCCCCGUGCCAAGCCAGUGGCUGCUGAACCUGCCAAGGCGCCCAAAAGCUCGGGCAAGAAGAAAUAACAUGUCACAGACAUACAUUCUGAACCUUCCCCAACAUACCCCACUAGCUUGACAUGAUGGAGGUCCUCGCUCAUCCCAGGCUAACAGACAUUCUCUGCCUUACUGUUUUCUGUCCUUUUUGCCGUGACCCAGUUGCUCUCAAUAAACAACAAAACAGGUCGGAAACCCCAGGAUUUCUGCGGCAUCCAGCGGACAAUCUUUCUCUCAGGAAAAAGGGAAGAAGUUUCUCUUCUGCAUUUAAUUGUUUUCAUUUGUUGUUGCAUGGCCUGCCAUUAUUUCCGCCUCGCACUUGAAGGUCAGAGGAUCAAUGUGAUCGACGGAUCAAUGAAACCCAAGCGCCGUGAGGAGGGAGGAUCGCUUGCUGCAUUGAUUGCCUUUGUCUGGGGUCUUUGAGGUCUCGCUCCGACCACUAGGGGGCACCUCAGGUCACAAACCCCUUUGUUUUGAUUUGAACUCAUGUAGCCUUCUUCUGAAAGGCCACCUUCCAGGGUCCAAUUCUGCCUGGGGGUGUCAUUUGUAAAGGGGAAACCCCAUGGGUUAUACAUUGUUAUAACAGAGUUUGUUUUGACUUUCAUUGCAGCGAAACAGUGUG